ACAGUAACAUUGAAUAGCCAUCUUUGUUAGAUGGAAUGUGGGAUACAGGAUUCAGUAUUGGCAUUCAAUUGCUGUUGGAAAUUGCCGAGCCUUAACCUAUUGUUGUAAUUUUCUUUCGAAAUCAGGUUGAGUUGUUGAGAAUUGUCUUUUUAAAUUGGGAAGAACAUGUAAAAUUUGUCUGGAAGUGAUGGCUUCCCUGCAAUAGGAUGCAUCUAAAAUCUUUAUUAAAUAAUGGAAGUUAAAUGUCUUUUUUCUUUUUCAUUGGCUUCCAGUGUGAACCUUUUCUUUGGCUCUGUUUCUCCUAUGUUUUGCCUGUAAUCUACUCCACUUCGUGGUUGACAGCACUAUAAUAGUGCAUAUUGAUCCCCUCAUUCUCAUAACUUCUUUCCUUGAAGGGUGGAUGGA
rnacentral:misc_RNA from 1 species